rnacentral:rRNA from 1 species
AGAGUUUGAUUAUGGCUCAGGAUGAACGCUAGCGAUAGGCCUAACACAUGCAAGUCGAGGGGCAGCACAUGAAGUAGCAAUACGGAUGGUGGCGACCGGCGCACGGGUGAGUAACGCGUAUGCAACCUGCCUACAACAGGGGAAUAACCCGUUGAAAGACGGACUAAUACCCCAUAACACAGGGAUCCCGCAUGGGAAUAUUUGUUAAAGAUUUAUCGGUUGUAGAUGGGCAUGCGUUCCAUUAGCUGGUUGGUGAGGUAACGGCUCACCAAGGCAACGAUGGAUAGGGGAACUGAGAGGUUUAUCCCCCACACUGGUACUGAGACACGGACCAGACUCCUACGGGAGGCAGCAGUGAGGAAUAUUGGUCAAUGGACGCAAGUCUGAACCAGCCACGUCGCGUGAAGGAAGACGGCCCUACGGGUUGUAAACUUCUUUUGUAAGGGAAUAAAGUGUAGUACGUGUACUAUUUUGCAUGUACCUUACGAAUAAGGAUCGGCUAGCUCCGUGCCAGCAGCCGCGGUAAUACGGAGGAUCCGAGCGUUAUCCGGAUUUAUUGGGUUUAAAGGGUGCGCAGGCGGGAGAUUAAGUCGGCGGUGAAAUUUUGCAGCUCAACUGUAAAAGUGCCUUCGAAACUGGUUUCCUUGAGUGUGGAUGAAGUAGGCGGAAUUUGUGGUGUAGCGGUGAAAUGCAUAGAUAUCACGAGGAACUCCGAUUGCGCAGGCAGCUUACUAAACCAUAACUGACGCUCAUGCACGAAGGCGUGGGGAUCAAACAGGAUUAGAUACCCUGGUAGUC